AGAUCAUGCUGGGCCCAAGAGGUGGAAGUUGCAGUGAGCCAAGAUCACGUCACUGCACUUCAGCCUGGGCAACAGAG
rnacentral:snRNA from 1 species